rnacentral:rRNA from 1 species
UGGGGAAUUUUGGACAAUGGGGGAAACCCUGAUCCAGCCAUCCCGCGUGUGCGAUGAAGGCCUUCGGGUUGUAAAGCACUUUUGGCAGGAAAGAAACGUCAUGGGUUAAUACCCCGUGAAACUGACGGUACCUGCAGAAUAAGCACCGGCUAACUACGUGCCAGCAGCCGCGGUAAUACGUAGGGUGCAAGCGUUAAUCGGAAUUACUGGGCGUAAAGCGUGCGCAGGCGGUUCGGAAAGAAAGAUGUGAAAUCCCAGAGCUCAACUUUGGAACUGCAUUUUUAACUACCGGGCUAGAGUGUGUCAGAGGGAGGUGGAAUUCCGCGUGUAGCAGUGAAAUGCGUGGCUAUGCGGAGGAACACCGAUGGCGAAGGCAGCCUCCUGGGAUAACACUGACGCUCAUGCACGAAAGCGUGGGGAGCAAACAGG